GCCUCGAUAGCUCAAAGGGCAGAGCGGUGGACUGAAAAUCCACAGGUAACCGUUCGAUACGGUUUCGAGGCACCA
rnacentral:tRNA from 1 species